rnacentral:tRNA from 1 species
GCCGCUGUAGCUCAGACGGUAGAGCAACGGACUGAAAAUCCGUGUGUCAUCGGUUCGAUUCCGAUCGGCGGCA